CGUCGCCGCGGUAAGACAGAGGAUGCAAGCGUUAUCCGGAAUGAUUGGGCGUAAAGCGUCUGUAGGUGGCUUUUCAAGUCCGCCGUCAAAUCCCAGGGCUCAACCCUGGACAGGCGGUGGAAACUACCAAGCUGGAGUACGGUAGGGGCAGAGGGAAUUUCCGGUGGAGCCGUGAAAUGCGUUGAGAUCGGAAAGAACACCAACGGCGAGAGCACUCUGCUGGGCCGACACUGACACUGAGAGACGAAAGCUAGGGGAGCAAAUGGGAUUAGAUACCCCCGUAGUCCCUGUCUCUUAUACA
rnacentral:rRNA from 1 species